CCUUGGUGUGGGACCUCCUGAGCUCCCAUUCCUGUGGUGGGAGUGUUUCUCCUCUCAUCCAGCCAAGCCAGAGACCUCCUAGGGAACGAGCAGCAGAGUGCAGCUGCCCAAGACGGGAUUUUUUGUGGCUCAGCCAGAUGUGCUCCUGCCUCCCGCCAAGACCCUGAGAUGGAGCUGAGUUUCCAUUCCAAUUUAUUGUAACAGAGGCUCCUCAGAAGUUUUCUCAGCUAUGUAGGGCAUAGAGCCCUGGAGCCAAGUAAGCCUGAGCUGCUGCAUGCUUGCUGUGAGCCUUGAGCACAGUGUGAAGACUGAAAGUGUAAGAAGAUGUGGAGGGAAACACAGAAUCUGACAGGAGCACUGAACACAAAAGUGCAC